UUGUUGAACAUGUGUUGUAAUGUUUUCCUAAACCUUUUUCAAAAAUGGUGUCCUUCCUUGAACACAAAUGCAACAUCGAGCUUGAUUUGGCUUGCUGUGCUAACAACAUGGUGUGGGCUGUUUUCAAAAUAACACAGCGUACUCUGUUUGCCUCCUGGCCGUUCCAGCAAGAUCCAGCCCUCUCCUUGAUCCUGGCUAAUCCUCUGUACUAAUCUCCCCAUUCACGAUUGAGAGCCAAGGCAGGAACAGUCUGACUGCUACAGACCCAAUCUCUGCCCUGCACCAUUCAAAUUUUUCAAUGGAGUAAGAAGCUUUGGUGUUACAGACCAGCAGCUGGCCCCAAGGCAGGAGACACUUGGAGGUAGAACCAUGUGCACAACCAUGAUGGUCCUGACCACUAUUGCUGUCAUCCUGCGGCAGAGGUUCUCCAACAAAAUCAAGCCGCAGAAUAACGCUGAUGAUAAGAAAAAGCCAUACAUAAAGCGCAAUGGAACAAUGGAAACCCCGGAAUGACAACAAUUAAGGUGGAUUCGGAUAUCCAGGCUUGUUUCUUUUGCUACUACAGGGGACCAUUGAUAAAAUCCUUUUGAUGUGUUCUCCGUUUGAUCUCAUCUUCCUUGGUCUGCUUUCGACAGCCGAAGACUCUCACCAAGAGAAAAUAUGAAGCAAAUGUGGCCUACACAAACAGUGAGGGCUGUUCUGAUACCGCCUUGCGCUCGAUCUCCAGCUGAGGCUUUCAUUACUGAAGCAGGAUGUGGAAACUGUGUCAGCAUAGGUUUAUAGUCUACUGGGAGAGGGACACCUUACAAAUGGUGAAUUUGAGCCAUUAGAAAUUAUUUAUGACCUAAAGGCUUGUGUUUUUCUUGUUUAAGUGGCUAUAUUCCUGAUUUGUGCGUAGAUAAGUUAUGACAUUAUAAAGUGCACUUUAAGGAAGCUCCCCUGUGUCUCUAAUUAAGGCAAUUGUUUAGAGUCCAGUCUUUCCUUCUGUCAUUAAAAGCAAACUAAAACUUUC